rnacentral:rRNA from 1 species
GCCAGACUCCUACGGGAGGCAGCAGUGAGGAAUAUUGGUCAAUGGACGAGAGUCUGAACCAGCCAAGUAGCGUGAAGGAUGACUGCCCUAUGGGUUGUAAACUUCUUUUAUAUGGGAAUAAAAUGUUCCACGUGUGGGAUUUUGUAUGUACCAUAUGAAUAAGGAUCGGCUAACUCCGUGCCAGCAGCCGCGGUAAUACGGAGGAUCCGAGCGUUAUCCGGAUUUAUUGGGUUUAAAGGGAGCGUAGGUGGAUUGUUAAGUCAGUUGUGAAAGUUUGCGGCUCAACCGUAAAAUUGCAGUUGAAACUGGCAGUCUUGAGUACAGUAGAGGUGGGCGGAAUUCGUGGUGUAGCGGUGAAAUGCUUAGAUAUCACGAAGAACUCCGGUGGCGAAGGCGGCCUGCUGGACUGCAACUGACGUUGAGGCCCGAAAGCGUGGGGAGCAAACAGGAUUAGAUACCCUAGUAAG